GCCCGGGUAGCUCAGAUGGCAGAGCAGCUCACUCGUAAUGAGCAGGUCAGGAGUUCGAUUCUCCUCUCGGGCUCCA
rnacentral:tRNA from 1 species